rnacentral:rRNA from 1 species
UACGUAGGCAGCAAGCGUUGUUCGGAGUUACUGGGCGUAAAGGGUGCGUAGGUGGCUCUAUAAGUAUGGUGUGAAAUCUCCCGGCUUAACUGGGAGGGUGCGCCGUAGACUGUGGGGCUAGAGUGUGGGAGAGGAAAGUGGAAUUCCUGGUGUAGCGGUGAAAAUGCGCAGAUAUCAGGAGGAACACCAGUGGCGAAGGCGGUUCUCUGGGCAUUACCUGACGCUGAGGAGCGAAAGUGUGGGGAGCGAACAGG